AGAGUUUGAUCAUGGCUCAGGACGAACGCUGGCGGCGUGCUUAACACAUGCAAGUCGAACGGUGAAGAGGAGCUUGCUUCUUGGAUCAGUGGCGAACGGGUGAGUAACACGUGAGCAAUCUGCCCUUGACUCUGGGAUAACUGCGGGAAACUGUAGCUAAUACCGGAUAUUACCUUGGAAGGCAUCUUCUGGGGUGGAAAGAAUUUUGGUCAAGGAUGAGCUCGCGGCCUAUCAGCUAGUUGGUGAGGUAAUGGCUCACCAAGGCGACGACGGGUAGCCGGCCUGAGAGGGUGACCGGCCACACUGGGACUGAGACACGGCCCAGACUCCUACGGGAGGCAGCAGUGGGGAAUAUUGCACAAUGGGCGCAAGCCUGAUGCAGCAACGCCGCGUGAGGGACGACGGCCUUCGGGUUGUAAACCUCUUUUAGUAGGGAAGAAGUGACCGGGUUUUCCUGGAAGUGACGGUACCUGCAGAAAAAGCACCGGCUAACUACGUGCCAGCAGCCGCGGUAAUACGUAGGGUGCAAGCGUUGUCCGGAAUUAUUGGGCGUAAAGAGCUCGUAGGCGGUUUGUUGCGUCUGCUGUGAAAACCCGAGGCUCAACCUCGGGCCUGCAGUGGGUACGGGCAGACUAGAGUGCGGUAGGGGAGAUUGGAAUUCCUGGUGUAGCGGUGGAAUGCGCAGAUAUCAGGAGGAACACCAAUGGCGAAGGCAGAUCUCUGGGCCGUAACUGACGCUGAGGAGCGAAAGCAUGGGGAGCGAACAGGAUUAGAUACCCUGGUAGCCCAUGCCGUAAACGUUGGGAACUAGAUGUGGGGACCAUUUCCCACGGUCUCCGUGUCGCAGCUAACGCAUUAAGUUCCCCGCCUGG
rnacentral:rRNA from 1 species